rnacentral:lncRNA from 1 species
GACUUCACUAAGGGCUUGUUUUUCUUCAGCAUUUACUUGAAGGUUAACGUGGGAUGGACGCCCAGAUGGAGAGUCUGGGCAGUCCGCCUCUCAGCUCUGCCUUGCACUUAAGAGAUCACCAACUUUCCCCAGGUCGAGCAGGCAGGUACAAGUGGGCUCACAACGUUUGACCUCGACUGGUUUUUCUAAGUUAUUUUGUACAUUUUUCAGCAGCGAAACCAAACUGGGUCUUCAGCUUUAUUCCCGUUCUUGCAAGG